ACGCUCGACACCUACGGGGGGCAGCAGUCGGGAAUAUUGCGCAAUGGAGGAAACUCUGACGCAGUGACGCCGCGUAUAGGAAGAAGGUUUUCGGAUUGUAAACUAUUGUCGUUAGGGAAGAUACAAGACAGUACCUAAGGAGGAAGCACCGGCUAACUAUGUGCCAGCAGCCGCGGUAAUCUGAGCGGGCUGGCAAGGC
rnacentral:rRNA from 1 species